GGUUAAGCGACUAAGCGUACACGGUGGAUGCCCUGGCAGUCAGAGGCGAUGAAGGACGUGCUAAUCUGCGAUAAGCGUCGGUAAGGUGAUAUGAACCGUUAUAACCGGCGAUUUCCGAAUGGGGAAACCCAGUGUGUUUCGACACACUAUCAUUACGUGAAUACAUAGCGUAAUGAAGCGAACCGGGGGAACUGAAACAUCUAAGUACCCCGAGGAAAAGAAAUCAACCGAGAUUCCCCCAGUAGCGGCGAGCGAACGGGGAGCAGCCCAGAGUCUGAAUCAGCUUGUGUGUUAGUGGAACGGUCUGGAAAGUCCGACGGUACAGGGUGAUAGUCCCGUACACCAAAAUGCACAGGUUGUGAACUCGAAGAGUAGGGCGGGACACGUGGUAUCCUGUCUGAAUAUGGGGGGACCAUCCUCCAAGGCUAAAUACUCCUGACUGACCGAUAGUGAACCAGUACCGUGAGGGAAAGGCGAAAAGAACCCCGGCGAGGGGAGUGAAAAAGAACCUGAAACCGUGUACGUACAAGCAGUGGGAGCCUACUUGUUAGGUGACUGCGUACCUUUUGUAUAAUGGGUCAGCGACUUAUAUUCUGUAGCAAGGUUAACCGUAUAGGGGAGCCGAAGGGAAACCGAGUCUUAACUGGGCGUUAAGUUGCAGGGUAUAGACCCGAAACCCGGUGAUCUAGCCAUGGGCAGGUUGAAGGUUGGGUAACACUAACUGGAGGACCGAACCGACUAAUGUUGAAAAAUUAGCGGAUGACUUGUGGCUGGGGGUGAAAGGCCAAUCAAACCGGGAGAUAGCUGGUUCUCCCCGAAAGCUAUUUAGGUAGCGCCUCGUGAAUUCAUCUUCGGGGGUAGAGCACUGUUUCGGCUAGGGGGUCAUCCCGACUUACCAACCCGAUGCAAACUGCGAAUACCGAAGAAUGUUAUCACGGGAGACACACGGCGGGUGCUAACGUCCGUCGUGAAGAGGGAAACAACCCAGACCGCCAGCUAAGGUCCCAAAGUCAUGGUUAAGUGGGAAACGAUGUGGGAAGGCACAGACAGCCAGGAUGUUGGCUUAGAAGCAGCCAUCAUUUAAAGAAAGCGUAAUAGCUCACUGGUCGAGUCGGCCUGCGCGGAAGAUGUAACGGGGCUAAACCAUGCACC
rnacentral:rRNA from 1 species